CCGGCGCACGGGUGCGUAACGCGUAUGCAACCUACCAUCAACAGGGGGAUAACACUGAGAAAUUGGUACUAAUACCCCAUAAUAUCUCAUGCGGCAUCGCAUGGGGUUGAAAACUCCGGUGGUUGAUGAUGGGCAUGCGUUGUAUUAGCUGGGUUGGUGAGGUAACGGCUCACCAAGGCGACGAUACAUAGGGGGACUGAGAGGUUAACCCCCCACAUUGGUACUGAGACACGGACCAAACUCCUACGGAAGGCAGCAG
rnacentral:rRNA from 1 species